ACGAGAACUGGAAGGUGCCCUUGUCCUUGUCCACCCACCAGAUGCUGUCCUUCAUGUCCCCGCUGCGAAGCAGAUCGAGCAGGAACUGCUCUUGAUCAAAUAUCUGAGGACUUGCUUUCUAAUCCUGCUAAGUGGUGGCUUUGCUGUGUGACCUCGGACAAGAUCUUUCUCCCCCUGAGCCUGAUACCCCAUUUGGAAAGUCAGAGAUGCAAGUGGAUAGUCACCAAGGUUCUGUGCAUGUGUGAAGUUGUGCGAGCCCACAACCCAGACAGCCCAGCCCUGCCUCUAGGAGACUGGAAAAGAGAAAGCCCACGAUUUCAGGCAGAGCUGGUUCAAAUCCUCACCGUGCCUGCGGCUAAUGCCUACAAAUUGCCCAGAAGAGAACCAGGUGCAACAUAAGACUCACUCGGCAUGAACCACUAUCAGCAUCAUUGUAUUAAUAUUUUAUUCUAAAGAGCCGGCGUUAGAACCAGACAGGAUCUCACUGAAUUGCUUAGGACCUCAUUCAGUUGUUGAAUGUGGCCUCAAACUGGCCAUCCUCCUGUCUCAGCCUCCCGAGUUGCUAGGAUGACAGAACAGAAAGCUCAGCCUCAAACCCAGGGCUCUACCCAGGAGAACAGAAGUACAACCAAAACUGAGGAGAAAGAGGAGGAAUCAAGAGAGGAGGAGACAAGGAAAAUACCCUUCGCAGGAAACCACAGACCGUUGGACAGAGGUGGCCGGAGCCCAGCCUUCCCUGGAGAUUGUUCAGAUGUGGAAACUGAGGCCCAGAGAACUGCCGGUCUCAGAGCACUCGCUAUUCUCUACCUUCAAAAUCAGUCACAUCCAUUAGGAUGACUACUACGAAAACCAAACCAACAGAAAAUGACACGUGUUGGUGAAGAUGUGAAAAAAAUUAGAAUCUUUGCACACCAAUGGUAGGAAUGUAAACACAGUGCAGCCCCUGUGGG